rnacentral:rRNA from 1 species
AUUGAACGCUGGCGGAAUGCUUUACACAUGCAAGUCGAGCGGCAGCACGGGGACAGCCCUGGCGGCGAGCGGCCAACGGGUGAGUAAUACAUCGGAACAUGCCCAGUCGUGUUGGAUAACACGUCGAAAGAAGUGCUAAUACCGCAUACGUCCUUAGGGGGUAAGCGGGGGAUCGCAAGACCUCGCGCGAUUGCACUAGCCGAUGUCAGAUUAGCUAGUUGGUGGGGUAAAGGCCUACCAAGGCAACGAUCUGUAGCUGGUCUGAGAGGAUGAUCAGCCACACUGGGACUGAGACACGGCCCAGACUCCUACGGGAGGCAGCAGUGGGGAAUUUUGGACAAUGGGCGCAAGCCUGAUCCAGCCAUACCGCGUGAGUGAAGAAGGCCUUCGGGUUGUAAAGCUCUUUUGUCAGGAAAGAAACGCUGAGCGCUAACACAGCGUGCUAAUGACGGUACCUGAAGAAGAAGCACCGGCUAACUACGUG